rnacentral:lncRNA from 1 species
AAUUCGAAGAAUACAAAUAACUCAUAAUUUUUGUUUGUUCAGAACUUCGCGUAACAAUUCAUGAAUAUAUUUUCUAAAAAAAGGAUUUCACUUGAAUAGACCACCAAAAAAUAAAAUAACUCAUUCAUUUUUUUUUCAUCAGAACUCCUCGUUACAACAUCCUUACAAGAUUAAUCUUUACAAAGCAAAUAUUUAGAUGUCAUACAUGGAUGAGAUAUAAACUCCGCGUUACAACAUCCUUACAAGAUUAAUCUUUACAAAACAAAUAUUUUGAUAUCAUAUAUGGAUGAGAUAUAUAAAAUUGCCAAGUUAGUCACAAUAAUCGAAUCGGAUGAAAAUAAAAUAAAAAGAAGAAUCAUCAACCACCAUAUCUAUCUGAUUAAGCAUAAUAUCAAGCCUCAAAAAGUUUAUUAUUCUUAAAGUAGAACACUAAGCUCAAUGAAAUGGGCAAGGGAUAACUUAUCAAAACCUCUAGGAAUAAGAAUCAAAUAAAUAGAAGAAUUAUAUACAAUAUGUUUAAUAAAUGUAACAAACAAACUGCUGAGAACUUGACAAACAACUGAAUAAGGCAUUUGGAAGCUCCACCCUGCAAUUUCAAAGCCUCCCUCACUUUCUUCAUCUUCUUCUUUGUUCAAAUUAACCUUAGGAUUAGUCAGUUCCAUUUCUCGAUGGAGGCAAGGCAAGUUAAGGCAAGAAAAAGUAUACAACUCAGCCGUAGAGUUUCACCUUGAUGUGUGGAAGUCAUCAGUUCAAGACUGAUUAUCCCUGAGCUCUAUCUACACAACUAAAACCGCAAACUCUCAAAGAAGAAAAAGGGUGAGUCAAGACCAGUUUUAGGCCUUGUUCGUUGUCUUUGCUUGAUCGGGUUGUUUGAUCAUGGUGCUGGUUGUUUUGGGGUUGAGAAAUAGGGGGUUGGUGUUUGUUCUGGAGAUGGAGAAGUCAUGGGAGCCUUUUGGAAAGUGCCCUACCAAAUAGUCUCCUUUCCAACUAAAAUUUUGACAGAACAUCGUGGCCUUGCCGACACAAGGAGGUAGAUCACGACCUUUCCUACACACAGGAACACAAAAACACACAACCUAAUGAUAUGGGAUAUUUGCAAUUUUCACUUUUGGGGAUUGGGUCCAUGUAGAGAGAGAAUAUUUUUUUCUUUUUUUCUUUUUUUCUUUUUUGGAGAAUGAUAGGGAUUUUACUACUCAUGUGAACGGAC